AGCCUCUCAGGAUGGCACCUGGAGAGUUUCCCGUAGUCUACCAGUCUCGGAUAUGGGAGGGCGAGGCAAGCAGAGGCCUGUCCAUUCCAUUCCUAGCUUGGCCAGUGGCUGGAGAGUGGAAGGCCAUCUGCCUCAAGU